CGUAGGACGCAAGCGUUAUCCGGAGUUACUGGGCGUAAAGCGCGGGCAGGCGGUCGCUUAAGUCUGAUGUGAAAUCUCCCGGCUCAACCGGGAGCAGCCAUUGGAAACUAGGCGACUGGAGUCUGACAGAGGUAGGCGGAAUUCCGGGUGGAGUGGUGAAAUGCGUAGAGAUCCGGAGGAACACCAGAGGCGAAGGCGGCCUACUGGGUCAGUACUGACGCUGAGCCGCGAAAGCCAGGGGAGCGAACGGGAUUAGAAACCCCGGUAGUCCUGGCCGUAAACGAUGUGUGCUGGGUGGUGGGGGGUCUCCCUUCACUGCCGAAGCCAACGCGAUAAGCACACCGCCUGGGGAGUACGGUCGCAAGGCUA
rnacentral:rRNA from 1 species